rnacentral:rRNA from 1 species
UACAGAGGUCUCAAGCGUUGUUCGGAUUCAUUGGGCGUAAAGAGCUCGUAGGCGGUUUGUCGCGUCUGCUGUGAAAACCCGAGGCUCAACCUCGGGCCUGCAGUGGGUACGGGCAGACUAGAGUGCGGUAGGGGAGAUUGGAAUUCCUGGUGUAGCGGUGGAAUGCGCAGAUAUCAGGAGGAACACCGAUGGCGAAGGCAGCGCGCUGGGACGGUACUGACGCUGAGGCGCGAAAGCGUGGGGAGCAAACAGG